rnacentral:rRNA from 1 species
CGUGAUGUCGCGAGAAGUCCACUGAACCUUAUCAUUUAGAGGAAGGAGAAGUCGUAACAAGGUUUCCGUAGGUGAACCUGCGGAAGGAUCAUUGUCGAGACCUGCCCAGCAGAAAGACCCGCGAAC